AGAGAGAGACAUGCGCGCAUAUCAAUAAGCGGAGGAAAAGAAACUAACAAGGAUUCCCUUAGUAACGGCGAGUGAAGCGGGAAGAGCUCAAAUUUGAAAUCUUCAAGGUUUUACCUUGACGAAUUGUAGUUUAAAGAAGUGUUUUCUGCUGAAGUUUUGGUAAAAGUUCUUUGGAAUAGGACAUCAUAGAGGGUGAGAAUCCCGUAUUUGACCAUUAUUUUCAGCUUUGUGAUACACUUUCAAAGAGUCGGAUUGUUUGGGAAUGCAGUCCAAAAUGGGUGGUAAAUUUCAUCUAAAGCUAAAUAUUGGCGAGAGACCGAUAGCGAACAAGUACCGUGAGGGAAAGAUGAAAAGAACUUUGAAAAGAGAGUUAAACAGUACGUGAAAUUGUCAAAAGGGAAGCGUUUGACACCAGUGUUGUUUUCUCGAAAAUCAAUUAAAAAUGGCUCGAUUUUGUAUUGCUUGAGACCUUAAAAGCUCACUGUACAUUUUUCCGUGUCUUUUUUAAUGCACUUUUCAUUUAACAAGUCAACAUCAGUUUCUUUUGUUGUAAAAGGGUCAUUGGAAGGUGGCUUUCUUUUCGGAGAAAGUGUUUAUAGCCUUUGGCCUCUGCAAUCGAAGAGACUGAGGUCUGCAGCGUAGACUCUUCGGGGUUAGAUACAUUUGUGCUAAGUUAUAGCUUUUUAUAGACAACUUGUUGACUAUAAUUAGUCUUGUAGCUUACUCGCUUAUGCUAUUUUACCUACGCUUAGGAUGUUGAAGAUGUAGCACAUCAU
rnacentral:rRNA from 1 species